GACGAACGCUGGCGGCGUGCUUAACACAUGCAAGUCGAACGGAAAGGCCCUGCUUUUGUGGGGUGCUCGAGUGGCGAACGGGUGAGUAACACGUGAGUAACCUGCCCUUGACUUUGGGAUAACUUCAGGAAACUGGGGCUAAUACCGGAUAGGAGCUCCUGCUGCAUGGUGGGGGUUGGAAAGUUUCGGCGGUUGGGGAUGGACUCGCGGCUUAUCAGCUUGUUGGUGGGGUAGUGGCUUACCAAGGCUUUGACGGGUAGCCGGCCUGAGAGGGUGACCGGCCACAUGGGGGCGGGGCGACGGCCAAGGCCGGGGCGGGGGGGGGAGGUGGGGAGGAGGGCGCGAGGGGGGGGAUCGGGGGGCGGAAGCGGGGGGGGGGUGCUGACGGCGUUGUGGUGGUAACCCGCUUGCGCGUGGGACGAAGCGGGGGAGGCGGUGAGGAGAAAAGAAGCACCGGGUAACAACGUGCAGGCAGGGGGGGAAAGAAGGGGAAGAGCCAGCGUCUGAGC
rnacentral:rRNA from 1 species